UACACUAUUUGUGUAGGAAAAAAUAGUAAAACCUAAAUAACUACUAAAAAUCAUCUGUUUUAAAAAUGACAAAAAAUUAUAUUCAUUUUGAGAUUUUAAAGAUUAGAUUUAAAAGGAUUAAAAAAAAAAAAAAACAAACAAAAAAAAAAAACUAUAGGACAAUAACCAACAUGGUAGUGAUAUACUGUUAUCGCUAUUAUAAACAUAAUUAGGAAAAGAAAGAAAAUUUACUUAUUUUGCAUAAAAAAUUUAUCAAGUCACAGUAAAAACAGUAAAUAAUAAAGUCACAAAAGAUUUGUAUUUCAAUUUAAACUUUCUAUUCUUAAAUAAAAUCUUUACAAAAUGUUCCAUAGUUUCCACAAAAAUAUUAGGGGGGGGGGGGGGGGGUACAAUGGUGUUUCGUGUAUUCAGAGUUGUUCACAGUGUUAAAGAGAUGGAUUAUCAUGCUAAACAUGGCCAAAGUUAUAAAAAGUAAUUUAGAAGAAUGACUGAGAAUUUCUGUGUCGAAAAUCUUACUUCCAUGUUGGUACAAGUUUUGGCUGUUUUUUUUCGAUCGUGGAUCUAAUGACGUAGACGAAAACGCAACUCCUUAUGUGAGCAUUUCUUUCAGAAAAGCGUGUCUGCGCACACACAUUGACCAGAGGAGAGCGAGACCGCGCACAUCAACGCGCUUCAAAAUCGUCGGCAGCGCUGCACAGGAUUUGUUUGAGAAUGCCUCCAAAUAAGUACAUUUUUGGAUGUGAGGGAAAGUUUACCGUGUUCAGCUUCCCCAAGAACCCAGCGUUACAUGAACAGUCGAUGCAUAUCAAGUGCAGUGGGGGCAGUGUAUCAAGUGCAUUUGUGUGUUCUGGUCAUUUGAGUGACGAAUGUUUUAUAAACAAGACCCAAGUCGAUGCUGGAUUUGCACAUCGUUUGCUAUUAAAACAUGGAACUGUCCCUGUGAUAAAAGACCCCAUACGUAGUGUGAAAGGGAGUGAUGAAAGUCGUACUCACAGCUCCAGGCCCAGGACAUUCCACUGCACCCCUCCCACUACAUGACUUCAUCAACGCUCCAUAGCUGGAAGAUCAGACAUCCACCAACCUGCCAGCCAGACCUCAAGAUUUCAAAAUUAAAGAGCCUUGCUUUUACUCUUAAACACACACACACACACACAUACAUGCUGUGAUCUGCCGGUCAGGUGCACAAACCUGAUACUCAAAUCUACAGAAAAAACA
rnacentral:lncRNA from 1 species